CCUACGGGAGGCAGCAGUGAGGAAUAUUGGUCAAUGGACGAGAGUCUGAACCAGCCACGUAGCGUGAAGGAUGACUGCCCUAUGGGUUGUAAACUUCUUUUAUAUGGGAAUAAAAUGUUCCACGUGUGGGAUUUUGUAUGUACCAUAUGAAUACGGAUCGGCUAACUCCGUGCCAGCAGCCGCGGUAAUACGGAGGAUCCGAGCGUUAUCCGGAUUUAUUGGGUUUAAAGGGAGCGUAGGUGGAUUGUUAAGUCAGUUGUGAAAGUUUGCGGCUCAACCGUAAAAUUGCAGUUGAAACUGGCAGUCGUGAGUACAGUAGAGGUGGGCGGAAUUCGUGGUGUAGCGGUGAAAUGCUUAGAUAUCACGAAGAACUCCGAUUGCGAAGGCAGCUCACUGGACUGCAACUGACACUGAGGCUCGAAAGUGUGGGUAUCAAACAGGAUUAGAUACCCCAGUAGUC
rnacentral:rRNA from 1 species